AUGGAUUGCUACCCUUGCAACCCGCUCCCCCACCUACCUCCUGGCACCACCAUCAUCGUCCCUGGUCCACUCCAUGCUCGUCGAGGCUACGUGGUACUGGGUGGUGAGCUUCCCGUGGUCCGCGCUGGGUGGGCCAUCGCCACUCUGACUCCGGAUGUUUCUGCUGAAGAGUUUCACGAUGCCAUUGCCUUGGUCUCCAACUUCCUUGAAGGCCCUGGAUGGCAUAUUAACUACACAUCCACAUGUGGUAUGGCUACUGCUCUAAUCCAGUUUACUAUUGCUUGCUCCCGCGAUACAGCUGUUAGCAAUAGUCCUUAUCAGAUUUGGGAUUCAGUGUUGAGGAUCACUAGGCAAGAUAGAGGUGUCAACUAUCGCAGCAUUACGUUCACUCAUGAUGUAUGGAUUAUGCUGAUGAAUUACCCUCUGGAGUGUUGGGAUGUUGGAGUUGUUAGUCAUACUAUUUCCCCCUAUGGCAGAUUCCUGAUUUGGAAUAAAGAUCCGAGAGAUAAAACCAGGAUAAUCGUUAAAGUCAGGGUUAUGAAUGUUGAUACACUCCCCAUUAGCAUUGUUGUUCUCCAUAACUUAGAUGAUGUGGGGUACGGGGAUUCGUGGACUUGUCGAACCUAUAUCCUCUCGUGCGAACUGAUUGGCCAACAUGGUGGAGAUGAAGAUCCUCUCCGACCUAAUGGAGGGAACCCUCACCCCUCCCUCAUGUGCAUGGUGGUUUUUGGCACGAUGAAGUGCUAG
rnacentral:rRNA from 1 species